AUGACUACUGAUACAGCGGAAUACAAAGCCAUCUGUAGCUGCAGAGUGGAUCUGACAGAGAGGCUCUCUAAUUGCUUCAAAGAUGUAGCUGAAUACUUAAGUCAGAGUGGAGCACUGACUGACAAACAAUGCCAGACAAUCAUCAGUGCUGAGAUGAUCCUAAAUUAUGUUCUUGUGGACAUCAAAGACCCAGACACAACAUUGGAUGCAUUUGCUUACUUUGUGACAGCAAUGAAACAAAGUGGAAACACAUUCUUCAAAGCAUUUGUCAAGAAAAAAAUUGAAGCUAAACGAAAGGAAUUCUAUAGGGAACUGCUCCAAGUUCCACUAAGUUUCGUGGCAUCUCAGGAAUACGACGUCUUCAUCAGCUACAGCCGUGAGGCUGACACUAUGCGCACAGUCGACGCACUCUUCUGUGCUCUCGACUGACACAAAAAGGCCUCAGCGUGUUUGUAGACAGAGAUGACAUUCGUCCUGGGAACAGAUGGCGAUCUGAAAUUGCCUCCGCCAUCAAAACCUGCAAAACCUUUGUUUGUGUGCUCACUAAGUGCUAUAUUACAUGAGGUCUGUGUACUGCAAUGGAGAGAUGUACGAAGCAGUGGCUCUUAAGAAGCGUUUGUUCCCAGUGGUGUGUGAGGAUGGUUGGGGAGAUGUGCCUGGAGGUGCUCCUAUGACAGAGGUAGUGAGAAACUUUCAGUAUGUCUCUCUAGUGGCAGAGGACAGGGAGACACAACUGACAAGACUGGUGCAAUGGAUCAAAGAAACUGUGGCACCUUUAUCACCUGUUGCAGUAGCUCCAGGCUUGUCUAAUCUUCCCACCGAUCGUGGUGGUAAGAUGAUGCUUGUGUUAUUAUCCCUCAUGCAGACCCCUCGUACUCUGUAAUGGAAGAUGUGUGUAAGAAGACUGGAGUGAGUGAUCAACAACUCGAUCAAGAAAUCUCUGAGAGUGACAUCAUUCUAUUGGUGGAGAAAUGUCCUCACCUACUGAGCAUGCACAAGGCUUUGACAAUUUACGAUCUACAAUAUGUUUACGAGAAACUUAAAAGUGUAAGCCCUCACUGGUUCGAUCUGGGAUUGGCUCUAGGUCUAACUCAUCCUGUUCUCACCAACAUUAUAUAGCGAGCAUCGUGGAAAUAAUGUGUUGUGCUUGCGUGAAAUGUUGGCUCAGCUCCUGAGUACACAACGUGUAACAUGGAGUCUCCUGUCAGAUGGUCUCAAAAAGCCUACAGUGGAGCUCAUCAAUUUGGCUGAUAGCAUCACAGCCACAACUCCUAACCUGCUCAAUCAACUCGACCUCACCCCAGCCAACCUUGGUGAUGUAACUGAUGUCACACGUCGUUAUGGUAAUCAAGCUGGAGUGGCUCAUGCAUUGAGAGUGUGGCAAAGAGUGAAUCCUUCCAGAGCUACCUUCAGGGCCUUGGUGGGAAUUGCCAUAGGACUGAGAAGAGGAGACACCGCUACAGACAUUUGUAGAUUCAUUGUAAAGGAACUGAACAAAGAUAUUUUUUAUUCUGUGUCUUCAACACAUUGUUGACAUUAGCCUCAAUCCCAGACCGAGUUUUCGCUUUUAUAACGGUUAGGUGAACAACUGGGCCUGGUACUAGUUGUCUGCGCAUGCGUCAGUCGUUUGUCAGAUUCUGACCAAUGGAUAUUCUCGUUCACUUUCGUGACAUUUAUAUUCGUGUACUAUCGUGUACUAGAAGUCAGUUCCCGUUUUAUCAUUAUUUGGAAUGGCUCUUAGCUGAAGCUUCUCUUUUCUCUGAAGCUUAUUCUGAAGACUGAACAACAAGGGAAGAGGUAUAAAGCUUUGUCAAGCUUGUUAAGGUCAAAUAUUUUUGUGUGGGCCCUAUGGCUAUGCUAUCAAGUCUUGUUCAUGUUUGGCAAGAUUACCGGUACGUAGGUAGACUAUAGUUUCAUCAUUAAUAUGGUGGAUCAAGUGAAGAGUGUGAGCUAGAGAACUUGGUGCUGCCAUCAUCAGCUCGUCGACACAAUGACACUAUAACCUGUUUAAUACGAGAAAUUUAAUAUGUAUAGAUCUACACGUAUUUAAAAUGUCUACUUCUCUGUACAGGAGCAAUGGCUAAUAUCCAGCUAUCCCAACAGUGCUCCUCUUGGCUAUACUAACGGACGAGACUGGACAGUUUGAGGACUGGAGCAUGACCUGCUCAUUCGAGCGUUGCUGGGUAGCUCAGAGACAUCAAGAGAAUCUACGUUUUCUCAAGCAAAAUUUAACUGAGUUACGAGUUGGGGCCUAGAAUCAGAGAAGUCCAGCAACCUGCUAAAUCUUUUUGAAACGUAAUUUGAAGGCAUUCAAUCAUCCUGAAGUUGCCCUGGGUCACUGUAAUUGUGCUGCAGCACAACUGGCAACUCCCCAGGUCCUUGUGAAGCAGCUCCCUAUGUGCAUCUUUUGUGUACUCACUCUGUGCAUUUUCUGUGUACAAAUUUAGAUUAUUGAUUUAUUAAAUAUUUUUGCCAACCACAAAUAUACAAUGAAAAUUUGACGCAUGCGCAGACAACUAGUACCAGGCCCAGUUGUUUGCCUAACCGUUAUAAAAGCGAAAACUCGGCCUGGGAUCG